rnacentral:rRNA from 1 species
GUGAGGAAUAUUGGUCAAUGGGCGAGAGCCUGAACCAGCCAAGUCGCGUGAAGGAAGAAGGAUCUAUGGUUCGUAAACUUCUUUUGCAGGGGAAUAAAGUGCGGGACGUGUCCUGUUUUGUAUGUACCCUGAGAAUAAGGAUCGGCUAACUCCGUGCCAGCAGCCGCGGUAAUACGGAGGAUCCGAGCGUUAUCCGGAUUUAUUGGGUUUAAAGGGUGCGUAGGUGGGUUGAUAAGUCAGCGGUGAAAGUUUGCAGCUUAACUGUAAAAAUGCCGUUGAAACUGUCGGACUUGAGUGUAAAUGAGGUAGGCGGAAUGCGUGGUGUAGCGGUGAAAUGCAUAGAUAUCACGCAGAACUCCGAUUGCGAAGGCAGCUUACUAAGCUACAACUGACACUGAAGCACGAAAGCGUGGGGAGCAAACAGGAUUAGAAACCCCAGUAGUCC